rnacentral:rRNA from 1 species
AGAGUUUGAUUCUGGCUCAGGAUGAACGCUAGCGGCAGGCUUAACACAUGCAAGUCGAGGGGCAGCGGGAUGUAGCAAUACAUUGCCGGCGACCGGCGGAUGGGUGCGUAACGCGUAUGCAACCUACCUUAUACAGGGGAAUAACCUUUCGAAAGGGAGACUAACACCCCAUAGUAUUGAUUUAAGGCAUCUUAGAUUAAUUAAAUAUUUAUAGGUAUAAGAUGGGCAUGCGUAUGAUUAGCUAGUUGGUAAGGUAACGGCUUACCAAGGCGACGAUCAUUAGGGGUUCUGAGAGGAAGGUCCCCCACACUGGUACUGAGACACGGACCAGACUCCUACGGGAGGCAGCAGUGAGGAAUAUUGGUCAAUGGGCGCAAGCCUGAACCAGCCAUGCCGCGUGCAAGGAAGACGGCCUUAUGGGUUGUAAACUGCUUUUACAUAAGACUAACCGUAUAUUUGCGAAUAUACCUGAAUGUAUUAUGAGAAUAAGGAUCGGCUAACUCCGUGCCAGCCGCCGC